GCAGACACAUUCCAGCCAAUCAGCAGCAGACCCUCCCUCCCAGACCCUCCACCUCCUGGACAGCAUCCAUUUUGCAUCCAUUGUGAAGCUGCAUUCUUAGUGAGCUGUCCAGGAGGUGGGAGGGUCUGGGAGGGAGGGUCUGCUGCUGAUUGGCUGGAAUGUAUCUG
rnacentral:miRNA from 1 species